UUAUUCUCUGUGCAUUUUCUCUCUUUUGCCUCUCGAAAUAGAUCUUUUUUGAGACUUGAGGAAUCAAUGAGUGACAACGAGAGAGAGCACGCCUGUGAGCAUUCAUGCAAGGGAAAUGGUUGUGAACAAGUGUGCUCUUUGUCGUCGUCAUAAUAUGAUUUAUUCAAGGCACGUAAUAUAGCAGAUACCCAAGGCAGGUAAUGUGGCAAAUUUUUUUAAGACUUGAGACAUCAUUGUGUGACGACGAGAGAGAGCACGCCUGUGAAUAUUCAUGCAAGGGACAUGGCUGUGAACAAGUGUGCUCUCUGUCGUCGUCAUGAUAUGAUUGGCUCAAGGCAGGUUAUGUAGCGGAUUAUUUUUAGACUUGAGAGAUCAUUGUACGACAACAAGAGAUAGCACGCCCGUGAACAUUCAAGCAAUGGGCAUGGCUUUGAACAAGCAUGCUUUCUAUUGUUGUCAUGAUAUGAUUGGUUCAAGGCAGGUUGUGUAGCAGAUUAUUCUUAGAAUUGAGAUAUUAUGGUGUGCCAAAGAGAGUGAGUACGUCCUUGAGCAUUCAUGCAAGGGACAUGGUUGUGAACAAGGCAGUUUAAUUUUCUCUUUGUCUAUGUGUUCUUGCACAUGGAAGUAAGUAGGUGAUUCUUGCCUAUUAUUGUAGUUGAAAUAAGCUUAUGGACUCUAGUAAUUGAUUACUUGGUGUAUAGUUGGUAACUUAUGUUGUGUAAUUAAUUCAGAUUAAAAACAUAUUCUUCUGUUUUAUGA